rnacentral:rRNA from 1 species
CUUUACAUAUCAAUAAGCGGAGGAAAAGAAACCAACAGGGAUUGCCCUAGUAACGGCGAGUGAAGCGGCAACAGCUCAAAUUUGAAAUCUGGCUCUCGGGCCCGAGUUGUAAUUUGUAGAGGAUACUUUUGAUGCGGUGCCUUCCGAGUUCCCUGGAACGGGACGCCAUAGAGGGUGAGAGCCCCGUCUGGUUGGAUGCCAAAUCUCUGUAAAGUUCCUUCAACGAGUCGAGUAGUUUGGGAAUGCUGCUCUAAAUGGGAGGUAUAUGUCUUCUAAAGCUAAAUACCGGCCAGAGACCGAUAGCGCACAAGUAGAGUGAUCGAAAGAUGAAAAGCACUUUGAAAAGAGAGUUAAAAAGUACGUGAAAUUGUUGAAAGGGAAGCGUUUAUGACCAGACUUGGGCUUGGUUAAUCAUCUGGGGUUCUCCCCAGUGCACUUUUCCAGUCCAGGCCAGCAUCAGUUUUCCCCGGGGGAUAAAGGCGGCGGGAAUGUGGCUCUCUUCGGGGAGUGUUAUAGCCCACCGUGUAAUACCCUGGGGGGGACUGAGGUUCGCGCAUCUGCAAGGAUGCUGGCGUAAUGGUCAUCAACGACCCGUCUUGAAACACGGACCAAGGAGUCGUCUUCGUAUGCGAGUGUUCGGGUGUCAAACCCCUACGCGUAAUGAAAGUGAACGCAGGUGAGAGCUUCGGCGCAUCAUCGACCGAUCCUGAUGUUCUCGGAUGGAUUUGAGUAAGAGCAUACGGGGCCGGACCCGAAAGAAGGUGAACUAUGCCUGUAUAGGGUGAAGCCAGAGGAAACUCUGGUGGAGGCUCGCAGCGGUUCUGACGUGCAAAUCGAUCGUCAAAUAUGGGCAUGGGGGCGAAAGACUAAUCGACAUCCAAUCGGUC